rnacentral:rRNA from 1 species
GUCUUUUUGAUUAUAAUUUAAAGUCUGACCUGCCCACUGAGUUUUGAAUGGCCGCAGUAUUUUGACUGUGCAAAGGUAGCAUAAUAAUUAGUUUUUUAAUUAGAAACUGGAAUGAAGGGUUGAACGAGAAAAUAACUGUCUCUUUAUUAAUUAUUUAGAAUUUUAUUUUUAAGUUAAAAAGCUUAAAUAAAAUUAAAAGACGAGAAGACCCUAUAGAGUUUUAUAUAAAUUUUGUAAAAUAUUUUAAAUAGAAUUUUUUAAAUAUUUAUUUUAAUUAUAUUUAAUUGGGGUGAUUGAAAAAUUUUAUUAACUUUUUUUAAAUAAAAUCAUUGAUUUAUGAAUUAUUGAUCCAUUAAUAAUGAUUAUAAGAUUAAAUUACCUUAGGGAUAACAGCGUUAUUUCUUUUAAGAGUUCUAAUCGAUAAAGAAGUUUGCGACCUCGAUGUUGGAUUAAAAUAUAGUUUUGGUGUAGAAGCUAAAAAAUUUAGGUCUGUUCGACCUUUAAAAUUUUACA